CGGACGGGUGAGUAACGCGUGGGUAACCUGCCUCACACAGGGGGAUAACAGUUGGAAACGGCUGCUAAUACCGCAUAAGCGCACAGUACCGCAUGGUACAGUGUGAAAAACUCCGGUGGUGUGAGAUGGACCCGCGUCUGAUUAGCUAGUUGGCAGGGUAACGGCCUACCAAGGCGACGAUCAGUAGCCGGCCUGAGAGGGUGAACGGCCACAUUGGGACUGAGACACGGCCCAA
rnacentral:rRNA from 1 species